rnacentral:rRNA from 1 species
CCUACGGGAGGCAGCAGUGGGGAAUUGUUCACAAUGGGCGCAAGCCUGAUGACGCAACGCCGCGUGGAGGAUGAAGGUCUUCGGAUUGUAAACUCCUGUUGCCCGGGACGAAAAGCUUCGACCUAACACGUCGAAGUCUGACGGUACCGGGUGAGGAAGCCCCGGCUAACUCUGUGCCAGCAGCCGCGGUAAUACAGAGGGGGCAAGCGUUGUUCGGAAUUACUGGGCGUAAAGGGCGCGUAGGUGGCCUUCUAAGUUGAACGUGAAAUCCCUGGGCUCAACCCAGGAACUGCGUCCAAGACUGGGAGGCUUGAAUCCGGGAGAGGGAUGCGGAAUUCCAGGUGUAGCGGUGAAAUGCGUAGAUAUCUGGAGGAACACCGGUGGCGAAGGCGGCAUCCUGGACCGGUAUUGACACUGAGGCGCGAAAGCCAGGGGAGCAAACGGGAUUAGAUACCCCGGUAGUCCUGGCCCUAAACGAUGAAUGCUUGGUGUGGCGGGUAUCGAUCCCUGCCGUGCCGAAGCUAACGCAUUAAGCAUUCCGCCUGGGGAUACGGUCGCAGGCUGAAACUCAAAGGAUUGACGG